rnacentral:misc_RNA from 1 species
AUAUUGCGCUCGAGCCCUCGGGCAAGAGCAUGUCUGCCUCAGCGUCGGUUUACACCCUCACCCCUCCCUCCUUGUGUGGGUCGGUUGGCUUGCUAGCCAGCCUUAGGGGUGGAUCUGGCUUCCCCAAUGCGCUUUUGCGGGUUGGGCUGGCUGAAGUGUAGAGGCUUAAACAAGGACCCGAAUGGGCUUCAACUGGAUAGAGUGGUAGGACAGAGAGAUGGUAUUUACAUUACGUUUAUACGCCCUGCCUACCGAAAGUUGGAGCUUGUGGACUUUGUUUGGGGCCAAGCAGGAAACGUGCUUGCACGUUCUAAACUUCGACC